AUUGAACGCUGGCGGCAUGCUUUACACAUGCAAGUCGAACGGUAACAGGCCGCAAGGUGCUGACGAGUGGCGCACGGGUGAGUAAUGCAUCGGAACGUGCCCAGUCGUGGGGGAUAACUACUCGAAAGAGUAGCUAAUACCGCAUACGAUCUAUGGAUGGAAGCGGGGGACCGUAAGGCCUCGCGCGAUUGGAGCGGCCGAUGUCAGAUUAGGUAGUUGGUGGGGUAAAGGCUCACCAAGCCAACGAUCUGUAGCUGGUCUGAGAGGACGACCAGCCACACUAGGACUGAGACACGGCACAGACUCCUACGGGAGGCAGCAGUGGGGAAUUUUGGACAAAGGGCGCAAGCCUGAUCCAGCAAUGCCGCGUGCAGGAAGAAGGCCUUCGGGUUGUAAACUGCUUUUGUACGGAAAGAAACGGCUCUGGUUAAUACCCGGAGCUAAUGACGGUACCGUAAGAAUAAGCACCGGCUAACUACGUG
rnacentral:rRNA from 1 species